GGAGAGGUGCUGGAGUGGCUUAACAGGCACGCCUGGAAAGUGUGUGUUGGGGAAACCUAACCGUGGGUUCGAAUCCCACCCUCUCCGCCA
rnacentral:tRNA from 1 species